rnacentral:lncRNA from 1 species
UGGAGAAUCACCUGGAGAUGUGCUGCAGGCAGCUGAGAGCAUCAGCACCCCCAGCCCUGGGCUUCCCAGACAGGACUGAGGAUCAUCACACGGUGUUCAGCACAUACCACCAGGGGCAGGUGCAUCCUGGCUUCUGAAGUAGCACCUGAGAAUCCCCUGUGUCUAGUACCUGCUUCAUGAAUAACACUACAUAGGCUUCGGUAAGACUGUGGCUUAGACUAAUUUAUUCAACUUGAAUAAUUUCUCCUUGAAAUACUGAGAAUAGCUUCUCUUUUGCUGUACAAAUUCCGAGUUUGAGAACUUCCCUCAGCAGAUAGAGGCACCAGAAGGAGCACUGGGGCAGCCCAGCCUCACACAUCUGCUUCCUUGGGGUUUAUGUUAUGACUUGUAACACUGUGGGAGGGGUACUGUCACUCUGUUGCAGUAAUAAGUUGCAAAAUCUUCAGGCUGCAGGCUGCUGAUGGUGAGAGUGUAAUCUGUCCCAGAUCCACUGUCACUGAACCGAGAGGGAAUCCCACUUUGCAG